GUCGAACGAACUCUGGUAUUGAUUGGUGCUUGCAUCAUGAUUUACAUUUGAGUGAGUGGCGAACUGGUGAGUAACACGUGGGAAACCUGCCCAGAAGCGGGGGAUAACACCUGGAAACAGAUGCUAAUACCGCAUAACAACUUGGACCGCAUGGUCCGAGUUUGAAAGAUGGCUUCGGCUAUCACUUUUGGAUGGUCCCGCGGCGUAUUAGCUAGAUGGUGGGGUAACGGCUCACCAUGGCAAUGAUACGUAGCCGACCUGAGAGGGUAAUCGGCCACAUUGGGACUGAGACACGGCCCAAACUCCUACGGGAGGCAGCAGUAGGGAAUCUUCCACAAUGGACGAAAGUCUGAUGGAGCAACGCCGCGUGAGUGAAGAAGGGUUUCGGCUCGUAAAACUCUGUUGUUAAAGAAGAACAUAUCUGAGAGUAACUGUUCAGGUAUUGACGGUAUUUAACCAGAAAGCCACGGCUAACUACGUGCCAGCAGCCGCGGUAAUACGUAGGUGGCAAGCGUUGUCCGGAUUUAUUGGGCGUAAAGCGAGCGCAGGCGGUUUUUUAAGUCUGAUGUGAAAGCCUUCGGCUCAACCGAAGAAGUGCAUCGGAAACUGGGAAACUUGAGUGCAGAAGAGGACAGUGGAACUCCAUGUGUAGCGGUGAAAUGCGUAGAUAUAUGGAAGAACACCAGUGGCGAAGGCGGCUGUCUGGUCUGUAACUGACGCUGAGGCUCGAAAGUAUGGGUAGCAAACAGGAUUAGAUACCCUGGUAGUCCAUACCGUAAACGAUGAAUGCUAAGUGUUGGAGGGUUUCCGCCCUUCAGUGCUGCAGCUAACGCAUUAAGCAUUCCGCCUGGGGAGUACGGCCGCAGGCUGAAACUCAAAGGAAUUGACGGGGGCCCGCACAAGCGGUGGAGCAUGUGGUUUAAUUCGAAGCUACGCGAAGAACCUUACCAGGUCUUGACAUACUAUGCAAAUCUAAGAGAUUAGACGUUCCCUUCGGGGACAGGAUAACAGUGUGCAUGGUUGUCGUCAGCUCGUGUCGUGAAGAUGUUGGG
rnacentral:rRNA from 2 species